AUGGAAUGGAAACUGCGGAAGGCUUCUAGAUUUGCAGGAAUUCCUGUUGUGUUUGGCAACUGCUCUUACCAUUCUGGCUCGUGUCAGGGAGGCUUUUCUCCUAGGAGAGGAUCAAUGUCCAAUUAUCACGACGAUCACGUCGAAGACAUGGAGGAUGAUUAUGACAUGGACGACCCCGCUGAGGACAUGGUUGACGCCCACCACGAGCGAGGUUUAAGAGACUCCGAUUCGGAGGAUGACGAGUAUGCCCAUUCGAAUGAUAAGAUCCCAGAUACUUCGGCAGCGGAUGCAAGAAAAGGGAAGGACAUCCAAGGAAUACCCUGGGAGAGGCUAGCUAUCACAAGGGAAAACUACAGACAGACCAGAUUAGAGCAGUACAAAAACUAUGAGAACAUUCCUAAUUCUGGAGAAGCAGCAGCCAAGGAAUGCAAACCGACUGUGAAAGGUGGAAUGUAUUAUGAAUUCAGACAAAAUACUAGAUCAGUAAAAUCAACCAUCCUACAUUUUCAGCUGAGAAAUUUAGUAUGGGCUACAUCCAAGCAUGACGUCUACCUAAUGUCACAUUACUCAGUGCUUCACUGGUCAGCGUUGAGUGGUGUGGACACUGAACUUAUGAAUGUCCAAGGUCAUGUGGCACCAAGGGAGAAGCACCCUGGAAGUCUAUUAGAGGGGUUUUCUCAGACUCAAGUUAGUACCUUGGCAGUCAAGGACAAUUUGCUGGUAGCUGGCGGAUUUCAAGGGGAGCUAAUCUGCAAGCACCUUGAUCGAGAAGGAAUAAGCUUUUGCUGUCGAACAACAUAUGAUGAUAAUGCUAUUACUAAUGCAGUUGAGAUAUUCAAUACUGCUAGUGGUGCUGUUCAUUUCAUGGCAUCGAAUAAUGACUCCGGUGUAAGAGAUUAUGACAUGGAGAGAUUCCAGUUAUGCAAGCACUUUCAGUUUGAUUGGCCAGUAAAUCAUACAUCUCUGAGUCCUGACGGGAAGCUUGUUGUUAUUGUGGGGGACGAUCCUAAUGGUUUACUUAUUGAUGCCAAUUCAGGAAAGACUCUUCAUUCCAUGAAAGGUCAUCACGACUUCUCAUUUGCAUCAGCCUGGAGCCCUGAUGGCCGAACGUUUGCUACUGGGAACCAAGACAAGACAUGCCGAAUCUGGGAUGCGAGGAACCUAUCAAAAGCAGUCCAUGUAUUGAAGGGUAACCUUGGAGCUAUCAGAUCAAUCCGGUUUACGUCGGAUGGGCAGUUCCUGUCGAUGGCGGAACCAGCGGACUUUGUCCAUAUCUUUGACGUGAAGAGCGACUACAACAGAAGGCAAGAGCUGGACUUCUUCGGCGAGAUAUCUGGGAUGUCUUUCAGCCCCGACACAGACGCCCUCUUCGUCGGCGUGUGGGAUAGAACAUAUGGUAGCCUCCUCCAGUUUGGGCGUCUGUAUAACAAUUGGUACCAUGACACGCUGCUUUGA
rnacentral:rRNA from 1 species